AGUGAACGCUGGCGGUAGGCCUAACACAUGCAAGUCGAACGGCAGCACAGUAAGAGCUUGCUCUUACGGGUGGCGAGUGGCGGACGGGUGAGGAAUACAUCGGAAUCUACUUUUUCGUGGGGGAUAACGUAGGGAAACUUACGCUAAUACCGCAUACUACCUACGGGUGAAAGCAGGGGAUCUUCGGACCUUGCGCGAUUGAAUGAGCCGAUGUCGGAUUAGCUAGUUGGCGGGGUAAAGGCCCACCAAGGCGACGAUCCGUAGCUGGUCUGAGAGGAUGAUUAGCUACACUGGCACUGAGACUCGGUCCCGACUCCUACGCGAGGCAGCAGUGGGGAAUAUUGGACAAUGGGGGAAAGCCUGAUACAGCAAUACCGCGUCGGGGCAGAAGGCCUUCGGGUGGUAAAGCCCUUUUGUCGGGAAAGAAAAGCAGCAGGUUAAUACCCGGCUGUUCUGACGGUACCCAAAGAAUAAGCCCCGGCUAACUUCGUG
rnacentral:rRNA from 1 species